rnacentral:misc_RNA from 1 species
AUUUUUCCCUAGGCCGAGUAUAGGAAUCGACUCGGCCUCUUUUU